GAUGAACGCUGGCGGCGUGCCUAACGCAUGCAAGUCGAGCGAGGGCCAUCUGGUGGCAACACCGGGUGGUGCCUAGCGGCGAACGGGUGAGUAACACGUGGGUAACCUGCCCCCGACACC
rnacentral:rRNA from 1 species